rnacentral:lncRNA from 1 species
GGAGCAAGUCAUGACCACUAGGGUGUCCUUUAAAAGAGAUGCUCUUUAAAUAUUUGUUCACUGUGUAUUUAGAGUAGAGGCUGAGAAUUUCAUGAGGGAAAGAGGAAAGGGACCAUCGCUCUGGAUAGUUAGACUGAAAUGGAGCUCAGGACCUCCUCUUAGCUCAGUUACUUUCUAGACAUUCGAGACAAACCGGUGAAUAAAACAAGCAGAGAUCGCUGCCUUCAUAGAGUUUAUAUUCUUGUGAACAGAAACAGACAAUAAACAAACAAAGAGUAAAUUAAGGAAUGCAUUAUAGCUGUUAAAGCAAUCUUAAGGGAAAUCCGAAGCUUCCACUGCAGCACCAUGCUUAGAAGUUCCUGUUUUCUUCAAUGUCAAAUAGCAGUGAAAACAAAAAAUCUCCCACUUCCAGUUCUAGGAGAAUAUUAGGCUGCACAGAUCCAGAGACUAACUUCUGGAGUUCCAGGGAAGUGCUGAACCAGAUGUCCUGGUGCAUGAGGCCUGGUUUCUCUACCAUAGCAAAAUUUAGAAUCUGCAAAGUGGACACCAGCCUAACCUGUAACAUAGAAGUUCCUUGCCCUCAUGGAGUUCACGGAACUUGGAUAUAGAAAGAUGGACUUCUAGAUUAGCCUCCUGAAGGGUCCAAAAGAGUGAAGUCCAUCAAACAUGGAUGCAUAAGGUAGAGGAAAAGAGUGACACAGAAUCCGUUACAUGAUGCUGCUGAGCAAGAAUUUUCAGUUGAUGAGAAUUACAUAUUAAAUAUGAAGCCCUUCAGGAAUCUGUUUCUUUCUAUCAGUGCGGUCUACCUUGUUGAUUUUUCAACAAAAUUGAGACCAGGAUCAUCUAAAAAGUAAAAAUCAUGACUUCUGACUAUUCUCU